CCUACGGGAGGCAGCAGUGGGGAAUAUUGCGCAAUGGGCGGAAGCCUGACGCAGCGACGCCGCGUGGGGGAUGACGGCCUUCGGGUUGUAAACCUCUUUCAGCAGGGACGAAGCCGGAAGGUGACGGUACCUGCAGAAGAAGCACCGGCCAACUACGUGCCAGCAGCCGCGGUAAUACGUAGGGUGCAAGCGUUGUCCGGAAUUAUUGGGCGUAAAGAGCUCGUAGGCGGUUUGUUGCGUCGGCUGUGAAAUCCCGAGGCUCAACCUCGGGUCUGCAGUCGAUACGAGCAAACUAGAGUGUCGCAGGGGAGACUGGAAUUCCUGGUGUAGCGGUGAAAUGCGCAGAUAUCAGGAGGAACACCGGUGGCGAAGGCGGGUCUCUGGGCAACAACUGACGCUGAGGAGCGAAAGCGUGGGGAGCGAACAGGAUUAGAUACCCUGGUAGUCCACGCCGUAAACGUUGGGCGCUAGGUGUGGGGCUCAUUCCACGAGUUCCGUGCCGCAGCUAACGCAUUAAGCGCCCCGCCUGGGGAGUACGGCCGCAAGGCUAAAACUCAAAGGAAUUGACGGGGGCCCGCACAAGCGGCGGAGCAUGUUGCUUAAUUCGAUGCAACGCGAAGAACCUUACCUAGGCUUGACAUGCACGGAAUCUCCCAGAGAUGGGGGGUCCGUAAGGGCCGUGCACAGGUGGUGCAUGGUUGUCGUCAGCUCGUGUCGUGAGAUGUUGGGUUAAGUCCCGCAACGAGCGCAACCCUCGUCCUAUGUUGCCAGCGGAUAAUGCCGGGGACUCAUAGGAGACUGCCGGGGUCAACUCGGAGGAAGGUGGGGGAUGACGUCAAAUCAUCAUGCCCCUUAUGUCUAGGGCUGCAAACAUGCUACAAUGGCCGGUACAAAGGGCUGCGAUACCGCGAGGUGGAGCGAAUCCCAAAAGCCGGUCUCAGUUCGGAUUGGGGUCUGCACUCGACCCCAUGAAGUGGAGUCGCUAGUAAUCGCAGAUCAGCACGCCGCGGGUGAAUACGUUUCCCGG
rnacentral:rRNA from 1 species